rnacentral:rRNA from 1 species
AUUGAACGCUGGCGGCAUGCCUUACACAUGCAAGUCGAACGGCAGCACGGGGCAACCUGGUGGCGAGUGGCGAACGGGUGAGUAAUGCAUCGGAACGUACCUUUCAGUGGGGGAUAACGUAGCGAAAGUUACGCUAAUACCGCAUAUUCUGUGAGCAGGAAAGCAGGGGAUCGCAAGACCUUGCGCUGAUUGAGCGGCCGAUGUCAGAUUAGCUAGUUGGUGAGGUAAAGGCUCACCAAGGCGACGAUCUGUAGCGGGUCUGAGAGGAUGAUACGCCACACUGGAACGGAGGCACGGUCCAGACUCCUACGGGAGGCAGCAGUGGGGAAUUUUGGACAAUGGGGGCAACCCUGAUCCAGCCAUGCCGCGUGAGUGAAGAAGUCCUUCGGGUUGUAAAGCUCUUUCGGCCGGGAAGAAAUCGCACGGGCUAAUACCCUGUGUGGAUGACGGUACCGGAAUAAGAAGCACCGGCUAACUACGUGCCAGCCGCCGCCGUAAUAC